UCAAUGCUUGGGCAAGGUGUCCAUAAUUCUAAGCAUGAGGCAAUGUAUUUAUAGGCUAGGCAAUUGAUUUCGACACACUUCCAUCAAAAUGCCAAAAAUAGAAAUUCUCACUUGCAUGGAUGCAUGGGCGUGUGAUAGGCCAAUGAAGUGAUGUUAAAAGGUCGGAAGUUGAUCAUGAGCAAUUCUGAAAGUGUGUCAUGAAGUCAUGCAAUUGGAAUUGGGAAAAGUUAAUGUGAUUCAUCCAAAUGGAACCUUGAAGAAAA
rnacentral:lncRNA from 1 species